rnacentral:rRNA from 2 species
GUGACCUCAAAUCAGGUAGGACUACCCGCUGAACUUAAGCAUAUCAAUAAGCGGAGGAAAAGAAACUAACAAGGAUUCCCCUAGUAACUGCGAGUGAAGCGGGAAAAGCUCAAAUUUAAAAUCUGUCAGUCUUUGGCUGUCCGAGUUGUAAUCUAGAGAAGUGUUAUCCGCGCUGGACCGUGUACAAGUCUCCUGGAAUGGAGCGUCAUAGAGGGUGAGAAUCCCGUCUUUGACACGGACUGCCAGGGCUUUGUGAUAUGCUCUCAAAGAGUCGAGUUGUUUGGGAAUGCAGCUCAAAAUGGGUGGUAAAUUCCAUCUAAAGCUAAAUAUUGGCGAGAGACCGAUAGCGAACAAGUACCGUGAGGGAAAGAUGAAAAGAACUUUGGAAAGAGAGUUAAACAGUACGUGAAAUUGCUGAAAGGGAAACGCUUGAAGUCAGUCGCGUUGUCCAGGGAUCAGCCUUGCUUUUGCUUGGUGUACUUUCUGGUUGACGGGUCAGCAUCAAUUUUGACUGUUGGAAAAAGGUCAGGGGAAUGUGGCAUCUUCGGAUGUGUUAUAGCCCUUGGUUGCAUACAAUGGUUGGGAUUGAGGAACUCAGCACGCCGCAAGGCCGGGUAACUAUUACC